rnacentral:rRNA from 1 species
GAUUAACGCUGGCGGCGUGCCUAACACAUGCAAGUCGAACGAUGAAACUUAGUCGACUUCUUCGGAAAGACACUAAGCGGAGUAGUGGCGAACGGGUGAGUAACUCGUGAGUAACCUGCCUUACACAAGGGGAUAGCCUUUGGCAACGAAGAAUAAUACCCUAUAAAACCAUACAAGCACUUGCUAGACUGGUCAAAGUGAUAGCAGUGUAAGAUGGACUUGCGUCUGAUCAGCUAGUUGGUGAGAUAAAAGCUCACCAAGGCAACGAUCAGUAGCCGGCUGGGGAGAGUGUACGGCACCAUUGGGACUGGGACACGGCCCAGACUCCGACGGAAGGCAGCAGGGGGGAAUUUGGCACAAUGGGGGAAACCCUGAUGCAGCGACGCCGCGGAAUUUAGAAGGCCUUCGGGUUGUAAAAAUCUUUUGUAUAGGAAGAAAAUGACAGUACUAUACGAAUAAGGUCCGGCUAAUUACGUG